rnacentral:rRNA from 1 species
AGCGAACGCUGGCGGCAGGCCUAACACAUGCAAGUCGAACGAAGUCUUCGGACUUAGUGGCGGACGGGUGAGUAACACGUGGGAAUGUGCCUUUAGGUUCGGAAUAACUCAGGGAAACUUGUGCUAAUACCGAAUGUGCCCUUCGGGGGAAAGAUUUAUCGCCUUUAGAGCGGCCCGCGUCUGAUUAGCUAGUUGGUGAGGUAAAGGCUCACCAAGGCGACGAUCAGUAGCUGGUCUGAGAGGAUGAUCAGCCACAUUGGGACUGAGACACGGCCAAAAGUACAACGGGAAGCAGCAGUGGGGAAUAUUGCGCAAUGAGCGAAAGCCUGACGCAGCCAUGCCGCGUGAAUGAUGAAGGUCUUAGGAUUGUUAAAUUCUUUCACCGGGGACGAUAAUGACGGUACCCGGAGAAGAAGCCCCGGCUAACUUCGUGCCAGCCGCCGCGGUAA